GCUUGGCGUUGUGCGUUCGGUGAGCUUGUGUAGGAAGUCCUCAUACAACCUCGGUAACGGCCAAGGUGUUGUUUAACAUCCCGCCAUACAUUUGGUGCUGGCUGGUAUCACAGGCAUUACAACCGUGACUUAAUAUCGAAGCCUGUCAUGAAGAGAUCAUACCCAUUCGAAGACCAUUUUACAAACCAACGCAAGCUCCAUGUUGGCGAGAAAGAGGUCAACCUGGGUGUUCAGAGCAAUGAUAAAAUGCAAGCAGUGUAUGCUAAAACAAUGCAGAUGCUUUUCAAUGGAUCCAGAAAUUUGUUAAAUAACAAUGUGCCUACAUCAGUGACCAAGUCAACAAUAUCCCCUGCAAUGGAAGUUCCUAGGAUGAACAGUCUCCGACAGAUGGCGUUGACUCCUCGCGGCGGGAUCUGCUAUACCGGCGCCGCGGCCAGCAGUCAGGUGGCCGGCGGUACGGCUGAGCCAUAUGCCACGUGCUCCACGUGCCGGAGCGGUGCGCCGCCUACCGGCCCAUGCAGCUUCUGCGAGUCGCCGCUGUGCGGCACUUGUAUCGCCAGCUGCUGCCGCUGUAUGGGCAACUACUGCCGACACUGCCGAGUCGUCGUGUACGACCGGCACGAUGACGUGACCGUGUGCCUCUCCUGUAACCGGUAGCUGGGCGGCGGUCCACGUCAGACUCGGCCUGCGAUCGGUCGCUGGUGACCCCGACAGACUCCAGCGGCUCACCGUCAUGCGCCCCGCUUGUGAGCGGUGCGCCAGCCCUGUCGACAGCUAGCCCGCGGGACCGUCUCACGGGUCCCCUCUUCCCGGCAGCGGUCUGUGUCCGCGGCAGGGCUGCCGCCGGUGGUGAGCCCGGUCGCCGGCAGUGAGCCCGGUCGUC